GUUUUUGACGGAGUUUGUGUGAUUGUGUGAAAAUGUGUAAAGUCCAAAUGCUGAGAGCGUUGGUGAAGCAGCGACUAACUGCGGCUGCUGAAGAGAUAUUUGGGCUGUUUGAAAGAACGAUAGCAGAGUACGAGGAGGAACUUUGUCGUUCAAAAGAGGAGAACGAGCGACAACGGAAACUACUGGACGCUGUUUUCAACCCUCAACUUCGGUUACACAGAGCAGACGUCCAGCAGCUGUCAGUGAUUAAAGAAGAGGUUCCCCCUGAGCAGCAGCAGGAAUGGAGACCCAGUCUGGACCAGGAGGACCCAGAGCCCCCACACAUUAAAGAGGAACAGGAGGAAGUCAGGACCAGUCAGGAGGAAGUCAGGACCAGUCGGAAGGAAGUCAGGACCAGUCAGGAGGAAGUCAGGACCAGUCAGGAGGGAGAGCAACUUCAAGAGUUUACAUUCACUUCUGUCCCUGUGAAGAGUGAAGAUGAUGAUGAUGAAGAGAAACCUCAGUCCUCACAGCUUCCUCAAAGACUAACUGAACAGAUGGAAACAGAUGAUGGAGAGGACUGUGGAGGACCAGAACCAGCCAGAAACUCAGAUCCAGAUGAACAUUCACAACCUGAUACGGAUGGUAAGACUAAAGACUCUUUUGAAUCUGAGACUGAUGAUAGUGACAAUGAUUUUAAAGACACCAGGGAACCUCAGUCAGGUGAUGUUACCAAUGUAAAGCCUUUCAGCUGUUCAGUUUGUAAGAAAUGUUUUUUCAUGGAGACAAAGUUUACGUAGACACAUGAAAAUUCACACAGGUGAGAAACUGUUUAGCUGCUCCGGUAUGUAGUAAAAGCUUCAGUCCAAAGAGUCAUCUGCAGAGACAUAUGAGAAGUCAUACUGGUGAGAAACCAUUCAGCUUCUCAGUGUGUCAUAAAAGCUGUCAAAUCAAUUCUGAUUGAGUUUCAUUCCAUUACAGAUUAACACUGCGUGGAAUUCUUAAAAGUUAACACUGGAGGGUACGAUAACUCUGAUAAGUGUUGAUAUUACACAUUACUGGGUUGAUAAUUUACUCUCUUGCAAUGAAAAACAAGCUCAUAUAGAGUAAAAUUCUAACGCUGUAUAGUGUGAAUGAAAUUUGACACCAUUUCUGAAAGGAAAUCUUAGCAGUGUUCAUUUUACACCUAAUUUACCCUUUUUUUAGUUUCAACCUACACGCAAAUGCACCAUUAAGUGAGUAAAAAUUAAAGUUUCAUCCAACUAAUGCAUUUAAGAACUUUAUUAGCAGCUCUCCACUAUGUCAAAAUAUCACCUCAUCAAACAUCUCAUGUAGAAUACAAACCUACAUUCAAAACACUGACCUUAAGCCCGCAUAAAAUGACAAUAUGGAACAACAUACAAAGAGGAAAGUGUUGUUCUAUACUUCUAUUCUUCUACUGCUCAAAUGAACAUCAGUGUCAACCUCCUGGUCAAUAUACUCGGUGUGUUUGGUGUUUAAAUGGUUCCUAAAACCAGAAAACGUACCANACACACAUCCACAUCCAGUCUGGGC
rnacentral:lncRNA from 15 species